UGAUAAUAAUAGUCGUAAAAAAAUCCGCACAUAUAUCGACACAUUACUCUGGGUGCCUAGCAAUAGGUGGAGAAUGCGGAUAUAUGGAGGCCUAACC
rnacentral:sRNA from 1 species